rnacentral:lncRNA from 1 species
CGAUCACGUGUUGUGCUGAGCCACGGGCUUGGACGCACCUAAGACACGGAAACAACAUGGAAGCAGCUUAAUCGCCUGAGACACGGACAUGCAAAAUGGAACAGAGGCUAAGGUUAUAAAACCUAAAGAAAAAACGAAUCUGUGAGAGACUCAAAGUUGGGUAUGGCCAGGACUACGAGGGAAAUUUAGGCUAUUUAAAGGAUCUCAAGCACAUAAGAAAAAGUUAUCCAAA